rnacentral:lncRNA from 1 species
GUAAGAUUUAAUAAAGUAGCAACAACAUGAAAGCACACAGACCAGAGCUCUGGGGUCGAAAUAAAGCAGCAACAUGGAAGCACACAGAGCUCUGGGGUCGAAACUCAUACACCUUAGCACAGGGUAGAGGAGUCUCGACGACCAGCCAAAAUUUUUCACAGGCUUAUAUAGUAAAACUCAAAGGGGGGAGAACUGGGCAGGGAAAGUACAAGUUUACAUCACUAGGGAGUUCUGCCAAGGGACAAGGGGUUCUGCCAAAGGAUUCUACGUAACUAAGGAGUCAUGUCCUAUCAAGGAACCUACGUAACUAAGGAGUCAUGUCCUAUCAAGGAACCUACGUAACUAAGGAGUCAUGUCUUAUCAUUUGGCAAUGUCAUUUUGAGGUUGUUCCAGGAGGCCUUUAUCUCAAAAAUGUUUUCUAGAUGGGAGGGGGUGGGCUCCGAGGUGAAAGUUCAUGUUCUCACAAGAGGC